rnacentral:rRNA from 1 species
GACGAACGCUGGCGGCGGGCUUAACACAUGCAAGUCGAACGGAAAGGCCCUGCUUUUGUGGGGUGCUCGAGUGGCGAACGGGUGAGUAACACGUGAGUAACCUGCCCUUGACUUUGGGAUAACUUCAGGAAACUGGGGCUAAUACCGGAUAGGAGCUCCUGCUGCAUGGUGGGGGUUGGAAAGUUUCGGCGGUUGGGGAUGGACUCGCGGCUUAUGAGCUUGUUGGUGGGGUAGUGGCUUACCAAGGCUUUGACGGGUAGCCGGCCUGAGAGGGUGACCGGCCACAUUGGGACUGAGAUACGGACCAGACUCCUACGGGAGGCAGCAGUGGGGAAUCUUGCACAAUGGGCGGAAGCCUGAUGCAGAAACGCCGCGUGCGGGAUGACGGCCUUCGGGUUGUAAACCGCUUUCGCCUGUGACGAAGCGUGAGUGACGGUAAUGGGUAAAGAAGCACCGGCUAACUACGUG